UGGGAAUAUUGUCAGAAACUUCAAAUAUCAUCAGAAUCUUCACCGAAAUUUGAAAAAGGUCAUCAGAAUCUGAAAAUUUUUUAGAUUUUUUUCAAAAAAAAAUCUUCAAAAUUUUUCUUUUUAAUUUCUGCAUAUAUCUCUCUUUGGCUUCCUGAUCUUUCUACUUGCUGUUGUAUUUUUUUUUCCUAUCUCUUUGUAUGCUUUACUGUUUGGUGUAAGGCUGUAUUUAUAGGUUUAAAUUCAAAGAACCUUAUAUUCAAAAGGAAUUCUAAUUCCCUUUAGUUUCUCCCUUCAAAUUUUAAUUCAACUCAAACUUUUUCAAUCCACCUCAAACUCUUCAAUUCAAGUUUUACACAAACUCAACAAUUGAUUUUUUUUAUUUUUUAAUUUUUAUAAGUAACAAAAACAAAUAGAACCCAUGUCUACACAUAUCUUAAAUAUUGUUAACUAGGAUUAAUGCGCUAAAAUCCAUUGGAUACAAAAUAAAAGUUGGUUCAUCCGAAUCACAAGCCCACGUGAGCCAUUACACCACUAAAAUUAUUAGAUGGGAAAAGUAUAUUUAUCCUCUUGAGAUUUGAUAUAAAAAUAUUAUCCUUUUAAGAUUAGGUAAAAAUACAUUAAUUCCCUGAUGUGUAAUCUACUAUGUUAAUUUUAA
rnacentral:lncRNA from 1 species